rnacentral:rRNA from 1 species
UACGGGGGGGCAAGCGUUGUUCGGAAUUACUGGGCGUAAAGGCUCGUAGGCGGCCAACUAAGUCAGACGUGAAACCCUCGGCUUAACCGGGGAACUGCAUCUGAUACUGGAUGGCUUGAGUUCGGGAGAGGGAUGCGGAAUUCCAGGUGUAGCGGUGAAAUGCGUAGAUAUCUGGAGGAACACCGGUGGCGAAGGCGGCAUCCUGGACCGACACUGA